AGCAAGGGCACUCUGUGUUACAAGAAAAUUUUAGUAUUGUAAAACAAUUUGUAACCUUGCAAUACAAAAAUUCAAAAAUUUCAAAAUUUGUAUCCUGUUUCUUAAGGAAUCAAAUUGAAUAUAAUGAAACAUUUU